UGGAUGGAGUCGUCGUCUGAUGUCUGCUUUACAUUUUCGUUUAUGACAUCAUUGGACUUCAAGUAAUAAAACUCCUAAUAAAAGAAUCUGUGAUCAUAUCUCUUCCUGCAUUUAUUCUGACUUAUUUACAUGUAAAAUCUUUAAUUAUUUAUUCAGACAGUCGAACAAACCUCACAGAAUAACGAUACUUUAAACGAGAUUCGCUGUCUUCCUGUUCGAAAACAUUAGAAUAUAUUCACAAGAUUUUUGAGACUUCUUAAGGAGUUAAAAUGGCUUCGAAACAUCUGAUAGAAUGGUAUAUAAUAAUGAGAAUUGAAAGACGUGUAGUUUGAUGAAAUCUUCAAAUCAAUUGAAAGUGAAGCUUUAAAGUUGGCCAUCAAACAGAAAAGAGAAAUUAAAUAUGAAUCGAGAUCAAAAGAAAAUAUGAGGAAGAGCUAUAAAUUAAAGAAUUACCGAUUGAGUAAUUUAAGAUAGUUAAGAACUAAGUGUAAGAAAUGAAAGAGAACAGUUUGUUCAUCUUCCUGGCUGUCAUCUCUAUUUAUAGUAUUAAUUCAAUGAGUUGUGUACAUCGUCUGGGAUGGCGUUAAUAUUAUCUCUCAGUAAGAAAUGCCUGUGGAAAGAAUAGUCACCCACCUGAAAUUAAAGAAACAUUCUCUUCACAAGACGAAUAAAUCAACAAACAUUA